rnacentral:rRNA from 1 species
UACGUAGGGGGCCAGCGUUGUCCGGAUUCACUGGGCGUAAAGGGUGCGUAGGUGGUGAGGUAAGUCGGAUGUGAAAUCUCCAGGCUCAACCUGGAAAUGGCAUCGGAAACUACCUUGCUCGAGGUUUGGAGGGGGGACUGGAAUACUUGGUGUAGCAGUGAAAUGCGUAGAUAUCAGGUGGAACACCAGUGGCGAAGGCGAGUCCCUGGACAAAACCUGACACUGAGGCACGAAAGCUAGGGGAGCAAACAGG